rnacentral:rRNA from 1 species
AGAGGAAGGAAAGCUUGCUUUUCUGAAUCUAGUGGCGAACGGGUGAGUAACACGUAGGUAACCUGCCCAUGUGCCCGGGAUAACUUCUGGAAACGGAUGCUAAAACCGGAUAGGUAGCAGACAAGCAUUUGACUGCUAUUAAAGUGGCUUUGGCCAUGAACAUGGAUGGACCUGCGGUGCAUUAGCUGGUUGGCGGGGUAACGGCCCACCAAGGCGACGAUCAGUAGGGGUUCUGAGAGGAAAGUCCCCACAUUGGAACUGAGACACGGUCCAAACUCC